rnacentral:rRNA from 1 species
CCACGGACAUGGGGGGCGCCUACAAUGCAGUCGAGCGAUGAAGCUCCUUCGGGAGUGGAUUAGCGGCGGACGGGUGAGUAACACGUGGGUAACCUGCCUCAUAGAGGGGAAUAGCCUCCCGAAAGGGAGAUUAAUACCGCAUAAAGUAUGAAGGUCGCAUGACUUUUAUACCAAAGGAGUAAUCCGCUGAUAGAGAUGGACCUCAGAGGCGCACUUAACUAUGGUGGUGAGGUAAGGGCUCACCAAGGCAAAGAUGCGCUAGCCGACCUGACAGGGUGAUCGGCCACAUUGGAACUGAGAACACGGUCCCAGACUCCUAACGGAAGCAGCAGUGGCGGAAUUAUUGCGCAAUGGGGGAAAAGCACUGACGCAGCAACGGCCGCGGUGAAUGAAUGAAGGCCUUAGGAUUGUAAAGUUUCUGUCAUAUGGGAAGAUAAUGAUCGGUACCAUAUGAAGAAGCCACCGGCUAACUACGUGCCAGCAGCCGCGGUUAAUAACGUAGGGUCGCAAGCGUGGUCCGGAUUUACUGGUGCGUAAGAGGAUGUCGUAGGCGGACAAUUAAAGUCAAAUGUGAAAUACCCGGGCUCAACUUGGGUGCUGCAUUUGAAAACUGGGUGUCUAGAGUGGCAGGAGAGGAAAGCGGAAUUCCUAGUGUAGCGGUGAAAUGCGUAGAGAUUAGGAAGAACACCAGUGGCGAAGGCGGCUUUCUGGACUGUAACUGACGCUGAGGCAUGAAAGCGUGGGGGAGCAAACAGGAUUAGAUACCCUGGUAGUCCACGCCGUAAACGAUGAAUACUAGGUGUAGGAGGUAUCGACCCCUUCUGUGCCGCAGUUAACACAAUGAAGUAUUCCGCCCGGGGAGUACGAUCGCAAGAUUAAAACUCAAAGGAAUUGACGGGUGGCCCGCACAAGCAGCGGAGCAUGUGGUUUAAUUUCGAAGCAACGCGAAGAACCUUACCUAGACUUGACAUCCCCUGCAAUUACCUGUAAUGAAGGAAGCCCUUCGGGGCAGGGAGAACAGAUGGUGCAUGCUUGACGUCAGCUCAUGUCGUGACAUGUUGGCUUAAGUCCCGCAACGAGCGCAAACCCUUAUCAUUAGUUGCUACCAUUAAGUUGACCACUCUACUUGAGAUCUGCCCGGCUCAACCGGGAGGAAGGUGGGGGAAUGAAUGUCAAAUCAUCAUGCCCCUAUAUGGUCAUAGGGCAUACACACGUGUCUACAAUGCGAUGGUACAUACAAGAUGCAAGACCGUGAGGUGGAGCUAAACUUAAAAAACCAAUCCCAGUUCGGAUUGUAGGCUGAAACUCGCCUACAUGAAGCCGGAGUUGCUAGUAAUCGCGAAUCAGCAUGUCGCGGUGAAUACGUUCCCGGGCCUUGUACACACCGCCCGUCCCACCAUGAGAGCUGGUAACACCCGAAGUCACGUGAGGUAACCGUAAGGAGCCAGCGGCCGAAGGUGGGAUUUAGUGGUUUG